rnacentral:misc_RNA from 1 species
GGAGCUGAAGCUCGUCCUCCGCCAGAUGCUGUCCCUCUUUAACCUUCGUUAUCCACUGGUCCAAAUCCAUCGCCCUUCUUCUAAAUCUAGUGUUCCUUCUUCGUUGCAAUUAAACCUACCAGUUGUAUAGAAAUGUACGGAUUUAUCUGAAGGGUAAUGUAGAAGAGCCGAUUGAUUCAGCUGCCGUUUCCGAUGAAUUGAUGCCGGAAAGUCGCUCGAUCGGAUACUGCCCAAAACCCCAAUCGGAGAAAACAGAGUUUCCGAUCCCUUCGGAUGGAGUGAAUUUUGAAACCCUGGCCAAGUGAGACUUU